UAAAAGAUAAGCUAAUUAAGCUAAUGGGUUCAUACCCCAUCAAUAAAAAUAAAAACUUUUUUCUUUUAA
rnacentral:tRNA from 1 species